rnacentral:rRNA from 1 species
CUUUUUCGUGGGGGAUAACGUAGGGAAACUUACGCUAAUACCGCAUACGACCUACGGGUGAAAGCAGGGGAUCUUCGGACCUUGCGCGAUUGAAUGAGCCGAUGUCGGAUUAGCNNNNNNGCGGGGUAAAGGCCCACCAAGGCGACGAUCCGUAGCUGGUCUGAGAGGAUGAUCAGCCACACUGGAACUGAGACACGGUCCAGACUCCUACGGGAGGCAGCAGNNNGGAAUAUUGGACAAUGGGCGCAAGCCUGAUCCAGCNNNACCGCGUGGGUGAAGAAGGCCUUCGGGUUGUAAAGCCCUUUUGUUGGGAAAGAAAUCCAGCUGGUUAACACCCGGUUUUUAUGACGGUACCCAAAGAAUAAGCACCGGCUAACUUCGUGCCAGCAGCCGCGGUAAUACGAAGGGUGCAAGCGUUACUCGGAAUNACUGGGCGNNNNNNNNNNGUAGGUGGUUGUUUAAGUCUGUUGUGAAAGCCCUG